rnacentral:tRNA from 1 species
GCCUCUGUAGCUCAGUGGUACAGAGCAGUCAUUCUGGUAUCAGAUGGUCAUGGGUUCAAAUCCCAUCAGAGGUA